AGGCCCAAGUCCCUUUGUCAAAAUAUUUGCACUCUAGUGAGGGAAUACGAAUAGAGAGGCUGUCCAUCAAGAUAAUGUGGCAAUAGGCUAAAUCCUGGGCACGGAAACAGAAAGCCACCCGUGCAGCAGGACGGGGUUCUGUUUCACACGAAGACGGCAAUUUCCUCUCUGCUAAGGGGACGUUGGAACAGAGACCUCAAGGAAGCCACCGAGCAGAUUUUCAUUUGUUAUUGAGUUCUCCAAAUCCAAAGGAAUACUGGGCUGUGUCCACCACCCCUCCGUUCGCCGGCUGCAUGUAUCAGGCAAUUAUCUAUUUGACCUUUCCAGAUGUUGGCGUGCUCACCUGUAAGAUGGUAAUACCCGCUGUUCUGCCAUGGUGGCCAGCGUGAGGGUCACCUCUGAGGGGGUGACUCGAGGGCUUAGCACAGUGCCAGAUGGAGGAGGUGCUCUGGAAAUGUCCCUGCUGUGACUAGGAAGGUUUAAAAGCUGGGAGGAGGAUCCUGAGUGGCCAAAGAAGCCCAGUUACACACAGAGAAGGACGACACGGACCCAGCACCCGCUGUCCCCAAGGCGUGGUGGCUGAUCCUCGGCUGCUCUGCAUGUUCUGCAUCCCCAGCUGCCGUCCUCCACAGCGUCUGUCCGUGCUCUCACACAGGGAGAGCCGUGUCCCUUGUCAAGUUCCACGUCACCUAACUUAUGCGGCUGCUUCCCCAGGAGAGCGAGCUCAGGACUCAGCCCGUCUUCCCACAGCACUGUGGAGGGGAAACUGUGCUACAGGGAACGGCACUGAGUCACCUCUCUGCCCUGAAGACGGCCAGCCGGGGCACGGGGCUAGGGGAAGGCAGCAGCAAGCCAGUCCUGGGAAGUGAGGCUCUGCUUGACCACUCCCCUCUAGAGCAACCCUGUCCUGAAACCCACCCCUCCCUGUGGAUGUCUCAGGUUCCAGAACCAACAAACGGCUCGAUGUUCUAGCAAUUCUCGUUACCAUCUAGGAGAGGUCCACUCAGCCAAUCGAAGAACAGGACACAGAGACAGCAAGCAAGCAGCAGACUUACUGCAGAUGAAACAGAGACAGACUUCGCCAAAGAGAAGAGCCCAGAGCUAGGAAUCCAGUGGGAUUCUGUGUUGGAAUUUUCUUCUUUCCUACCUCCUCCCUGUCCAUGGUCUUCUCACUAUGACUGAUCGGUGGCCCCUCUGUCCACACAGCUGUCCUGGUUUUUCUAUUGGACCCCCGGCUUAGGAGCACAAGCAUGGGAGUGUCUGUCUGACUGGGUCCCCACCUGUGUCAACGGGCACUUUCGUCAAGCAGGAAGUUGACCUCACUGGAAGACCCUCUCACGCCCCUUGUGCUGACCCUGUCCUGUCCUCCUCACUCGCCAUCUUGCCCUGGCCACCCAAGCCCUCCUGCAUCUCCCCCAUGCUGAGUUGGAUUUUCCCUUUAUAUUACAGCCUGAAGCAUCCAGAUACCAAUCAGAUAACUUACCCCAUCAGAUCGCCAUGACAACCCUGCUUUAAGACGCGUCUUCAGUGCACUUCGCCUGUGGAGGAACAUGCGGAGACCAUGGCUGGCCCACUUUGGGGCUAUUUAGGGACCCAUUUUUUUAGUAGAGUGGAUUGGGGGGGCGGGUCACAGGUCUGUGUUCCUGCCUUGAUCUAGGGCCUCUGUUUCCUCCUCUAUAAAAUGGAUAUAGUUGUUUAAAAAGAACUGAAGGGCAGGACACAGAGUCAGCAAGCAAGCGGCAGAUUUACUGCAGAAGCAAUAGAGGCAGACUUCUGUUCUCUGGAGCUCAGCACCGGAGCUCAAUCAACUUCUUGGCAGGAAGCUCUUUGCAUCUGUAAAGGGCCGUGCAGCAUUUACUGUUCCUAUACCAGGGUUAGUCCUCGUGACAGUUGUAGGUUGCUGGCCCUAUCAGCCCAGCUCAGCUUACUCUUUGAUGCAGGCGAACGCCCUGGUUUCUGGCUUAUACUGAUAUUUUGCUGAGCAAACCCAUCUUUUAUGGCCAGUAAAGAUCUGGUGUGGUUUGGACGUGAGGGGUCCCCAACAGCUCCUGUGUUCAUGCAGGAAUGUUCAGACGAGCGAUGAAUGCACUGGGAGAGCUGGAACCUGCUAAGUCCAUCCUCGUUGGAAUGGUCCGACGGGGUGGUAACUUUAGAAAGGUGGGGUGAGGGUGGCUGGAGGCAGGGGGUCACUGGGGGCUGCCCAGAAGGGGUCAUCUUCCCCUCUGGCUUCCCGGCUGCACCCGGGUGAGCAGUGCCCCCCCACACACACACCAACCAUAUCCUUUUGCCAUGAUGCUGCUUCCCCUGGGGCCCAGAGCCAUGGACUCAGCCAACCGUGGACUAACCCAGGAUGUAGGCAACCGUGGACUAACCCUCUAAAUUCAUAAGCCAGAAUAAGAUUUCUCUACGUUGUUCUUGUCGGGCAUUUUGGUCACAAUGGUGCAAAACGGACGAACACAGAAAUUGGUACUAAGAAGUGGAGUCCCUACUGUGACUAACCUGCCCAUGUGGUUCAGAAGCCUUUGGAGCUGAUUUGUGAAAGGGAUUUGAAAAAAAAAAAAUCGUGGAUACAGGCUGGUGAAGUCUGAGAACAUUGUAAGUAGAGUCUAAUGGGUAAUUCUGGGGGGAGCUCAGAAGACCAGAAGGCGGACAGUAAAGACUGUGCUCCUGCAGUUUCAGCGGGAAGGAGGCCUCUGUUGGGAACUGGACUAGAGGCCCUUCAUGUUCUAUUCUAGCAAAGAGCUUGUCUAAAAUUUUGUCAGCGUCCUGAGAUGUUAUGUGAGGCUGAAUUUAAAGGUGACGCAGUAGUUCAUCCGGGGGAAGAAAUUCCAAGGCAGCCCAGCAUUAAGUCACGGGGUGUGGAUUUUGUGGACACCUUUUAGCCAGGUUCACCGUGAGGAUCAGGAACAGAGUGAUGAGCUGACAGAUUUUAAAAAUGUGGCGGUUUGGCCAGUCAAAGUCUCUAUACAAUUAGGGCCAAGGAAGCUGUGGUAGUGAAAGAGCUUGUAGCCACUAAAGAGAUACUAAGUACUUUGCACAGAGACAAUUAAAAAACAAAAGGACUAGAGGGCAUCUCCGGAGUUUGUGUGAUCACACCCACUUCAGACUCAAGGACGCAUUUUGCAUUGUGAGAUGGACAGGGGUUUGCGGGGGACCAGGGUUGAAUUGUUCUGAUUUGGGUAUGAGGAGUCCCUCAAAGCUCCUGAGUUAACGUUGGCAUGUUCAGAGGUGAAGUAGUUGGACUGCGAGAGCGUAACCCACUCAGUCCAUUCCAGCUUGAAUGGACUGACGGGGAGUAACUGUAGGCAGGUGGGGGGUGAUCGGAGGGUGGGUCACUGGAGGCUGCCCGAAGGGGUUCAUCUUCCCUCUGGCCACUUCUUCCUCUCUCGGUUUCCUGUCCACUACGGGGUGGGCUGGGCUCCUCCUCCAUGUCCUUCCGCCAUAUUGUUUCUGCCUCACGUUGGGUCCAGAGCAAGGGACUUUGCCGACCAUUGACUAAACCUCUACCUCCAUAAAUGCAUGAGCCAAAAUAAACUUUCCCUCCUCUAAGUUGUUCUCAUCAAGGAUUUUGGUCGCAGUGAUGCAAACCUGAACGCAAGAUCCAAAGUCAAACGUGGCCCCUGACUCCACGGGUCAUAAAUGGGGACUGAGCCCGCUCUCAAGCAGCUGACCCGCUUCUCGCACCCACCCUCGAAUGCCCACCCCAGGGCCCCCAUCUUCUUGGGUCCCCUUGCCCCGCGCCUUUUCCAUGGUGGAUUGGUAGAUUUCCCUAUGUCGUCUUCGCCUCCCAAAUGUAUAUUUUGUACUUCCUGCCUUGGGGGAUUAGAAAGAUAAACAUGUGUCACGAUGCAAUUUUCUCUUGUUGGGCAUCACUUGGAGGUAAAAGUCCCUGUGGUUAUCGAGGGUAAUGGAAGUGAAAGGCGGUGUAUAAUUCAGACAAGAGGCUGAGAAUUUGUCCUCACCACGGAUAUACCGGGAUGAUUUGCCUAAAUGAUCUAGAGUUGACUUCCUCAAAUAGAUUAAUCUCGACCACGGCGUGUGCUCCUCUUUGUGCUGUUUAUAUUAGGAUGGAGUGCUUGUUUGACAGGGCCCUGGCUUAACAGGCACCGUAGAAAGGAAACCCGUGAAAUAGAUUUAUCCCUGUUGUUGGAGGAAUGUGGGCUCUAUUGUGCGCACUUUGCCUCUGGCUAUAGAGAAAACCAUUUAUCCUCAAGUCUUCUCCUUGCCUUUCCUGUGCCUCGAGGACCAAGAUUAACGGAUGCUUUAACAGCCUCGUUCUGGGCGGUAUUUAUGAAGAGCAGCUCUUCUCACGCAAAUAACUUCUAAUAUUUUUUUUAAGUCGAAGCAUCUUUCAUAAAGAUGGGAUGGUAAGACCUUCAGUCAUAAAAGCUGAGAUAUUAUCUCACAUUAACCACUUGAAAGGCAUUUGAGGGUAUUUAUUUUUCAGGAAAGGAAACACCAGUUGAGGAUCGGAAAAAAGGGGGAUUUUUGCCGUCACCAUGACUUGACUUGAACUGGUCGGGUGUCAAGGGAGGUAGGUGACGGGGCAGGUCAGACUAGGUCAGACUCUGGGUGACUCUCCAAGCAGUGGGGUGACAGGGCAUGUGGCUUGUUUUCUUUCCCGCUGAUCAAAGGCCUUUAAAAUACACUCAAGGCCGUUGGUGCUGUCUGUCCAUCCCGCAGACUACGUAUGUACAACCUGUUUACAUGGCCUUGCUCAACGUCAACCGUCAGGUUCCAAGGAAGGAGGGUAAUUCAGGUUCAAGGACAGCGCUUUAGAAAUGCUUUCCUUUCUGAAAGAAAACCCAAGCGUCUCUCUGUUUACGAAAUGCUUGCAUUUCAAAAGUAAUUUUUCUCUGCUGCUGGAUUUAAAAAAAAAAAAAAACAUACUCCACAUCUGGUACUACUUACAGAAUAGGUCUGAUUGUUUUUUUGCAAAUUGAACAAUUAAUUCAGGCAAACAACCCAAGAUUUAAUUCAAUUUAAAAUUGAAAAGGGUGGACGGCCACACUGGCUGCAAUCCUAGGCUGGUGGACUUUGAGGCUGCGGUAAUUAGUUUUAGACAAUAUUGUGACCCAAGCAAGUCCACGCUGGGAAGAAGCCCAAGUGUGUUUGGUACCAGUGCCCGGCCUGCUUUUAUAAAGCGCUUCCCCAGAGUGCCAGUGAGGUGACAGAAAAUGACCAGAAACCACGGGCAGGGAUUCGGAGGACCCCGUGGGGCCUUCCGCAUGGGGAUCCAGCACACGGCCCAAGGGAGUUUGACCAACGCUUUGCAUCCGGCUCUUGAGAAGCAACGCUGGACAUUUCGCCAGCUGCCCAAGGCCAGAGAGAGCUGGCAACGUGACCUGAGACUGCGAGGGGCGUGGGGGAGGCAGGAGCACCCACCUGUACUGGGGGGGGGCAAGAAGAGGCACGGGAGAAAGCCCCAGUCCAACUGCAGAUGGCCUCAAAGACACGGUCACGCGUCAUGAAGCCUGACACAGGGAACAGAAUUAGAAAAGGCGGUGAGGUCAUUGCUUUUCCGAAAGAUUCCGUCACUUGGGGAAAGAACUGCGGAGUGUGGAACCCAAGGGGUUCUAGAACCCUCUCUCCUUCCUCUAUGGCUUAACAGGUCGGCUCGUUUCAGGCAACCCCAGGUUUCCUCCUUUGGGCAUUGGGUCUCCCUCCCCCUCUUUAUCCCUCCUCCCUCCCUCCCUCCCACCCUCUCUUCCUUCCUCCUUGCCUUCCCUCCUCCCUUUCAUUUUCCCUUUUAUAAAAUAAGUUGUGCAUGCCUCUCUGCAGUUGCUGCACAGGGAUAAAUCCAAAAUAAAGCAUCCUCAUUAA